rnacentral:misc_RNA from 1 species
UGCAAUUAAAUAGCAAAAAGCAGUGUAAUUAGAGAACCCAGAAGCAGAAACCAUGACUACAAUUGACCCAACUGCAAAUAAACAUUGUCCAAGCCUUAAAAACAAUCCACUCACACUUCCUGGACUACCCACCAGCUCUUUCAUCCUCCUCCUACUCUUCUUCUCCCAAAAAAAGUGAACUUUUAACUGCUAUUAUGCUCCAAAAAGGGCCCUUUUUUUGCAAGAAAACUAAAAGGGCCCUCUUAAGAUCCCUAGAUCUCUGUAUUAUUACCCAUAUCAGCACCCUAACUAACCAAAUUGCUAAGCAUCGAUCUCUGUAACUAUAUCAGAUUAGACGAG